rnacentral:rRNA from 1 species
CGAGCGAACAGACGAGGAGCUUGCUCCUCUGACGUUAGCGGCGGACGGGUGAGUAACACGUGGAUAACCUACCUAUAAGACUGGGAUAACUUCGGGAAACCGGAGCUAAUACCGGAUAAUAUAUUGAACCGCAUGGUUCAAUAGUGAAAGACGGUUUUGCUGUCACUUAUAGAUGGAUCCGCGCCGCAUUAGCUAGUUGGUAAGGUAACGGCUUACCAAGGCAACGAUGCGUAGCCGACCUGAGAGGGUGAUCGGCCACACUGGAACUGAGACACGGUCCAGACUCCUACGGGAGGCAGCAGUAGGGAAUCUUCCGCAAUGGGCGAAAGCCUGACGGAGCAACGCCGCGUGAGUGAUGAAGGUCUUCGGAUCGUAAAACUCUGUUAUUAGGGAAGAACAAAUGUGUAAGUAACUAUGCACGUCUUGACGGUACCUAAUCAGAAAGCCACGGCUAACUACGUGCCAGCAGCCGCGGUAAUACGUAGGUGGCAAGCGUUAUCCGGAAUUAUUGGGCGUAAAGCGCGCGUAGGCGGUUUUUUAAGUCUGAUGUGAAAGCCCACGGCUCAACCGUGGAGGGUCAUUGGAAACUGGAAAACUUGAGUGCAGAAGAGGAAAGUGGAAUUCCAUGUGUAGCGGUGAAAUGCGCAGAGAUAUGGAGGAACACCAGUGGCGAAGGCGACUUUCUGGUCUGUAACUGACGCUGAUGUGCGAAAGC